rnacentral:rRNA from 1 species
AACCCGUCUUGAAACACGGACCAAGGAGUUCAACAUAUGCGCAGGUCGUUGGGUGUUUGGUAUACCCUAAGGCCUAGUGAAAGCAAGCGAUGCCAUUCGAUGGUAUCAUUUUGGCGAGAUCCUGGCGCCUCGUGCGUUAGGCGCAUCGCCGGCCCGUUUAUUGGCCACGCGCCAUGGACGGAGUUAGAGCGCAUACGCUGAGACCCGAAAGAUGGUGAACUAUGCCUGGACAGGAUGAAGCCAGAGGAAACUCUGGUGGAAGUCCGUAGCGAUUCUGACGUGCAAAUCGAUCGUCUGAUCUGGGUAUAGGGGCGAAAGACUAAUCGAACCAUCUAAUUGCUGGUUCCCUCCGAAGUUUCCCUCAGGAUAGCUGGUGCUCGGUUUUAAGCAGUCUCUCCCGGUAAAGCGAAUGAUUAGAGGCAUUGGGACCGAAACGGUCUCAACCUAUUCUCAAACUUUAAAUGGGUGAGAAGUCCGGCUUACUUGAUUUGAAGUCUGGACCAUUAAAUUGGAUGCAUGAUAACUAAGUGGGCCAUUUUUGGUAAGCAGAACUGGCGCUGUGGGAUGAACCGAACGUUGAGUUACGGCGCCUGAUUAUAGACGCUCAUCAGAUACCACAAAAGGUGUUGGUUGCUAUAGACAGCAGGACGGUGGCCAUGGAANUCGGAACCCGCUAAGGAGUGUGUAACAACUCACCUGCCGAAGCAACUAGCCCUGAAAAUGGAUGGCGCUUGAGCGUUUAGCCUAUACUCAACCGUUGUGGCACACGCUGUGGUAAGCGAUUACCGUAUUUUGUGCUUUUAUGGCACAUGCGUGCUAGUCAUGCCUCAACGAGUAGGAGGGUCGCGGCGAUAUGCUUUGAAGGUUUAGCGACGUGAGUCGGACUGGAGCUGUCGUCGGUGCAGAUCUUGGUGGUAGUAGCAAAUACUCAAGCGAGAACCUUGAGGACUGAAGUGGAGAAGGCUUCCAUGUGAACAGCAGUUGAACAUGGGUCAGUCGAUCCUAAAGCAUCGGCGAAGGCCGUUCAGAAGCGGUGUUGGUUUUGUGGCAGCGUGCUGUUUCGGCAGUACGUUGUCCGGCUAUAGGCGCUCGCUCGUUUAUAGUCACCGCACCUGCUGAAAGGGAAUUGGAUUAAUAUUUCCAAACCUAACAGCGGAGAUUGGUUGCUCAAUAGGCUGCACGGGUCUUGUGCUCGUUGCAGUCGGGGCAGCGCGCUGCGGUAACGCAAACGAACUCGGACACGCUAACAGGAGUCCCGGGAAGAGUUGUCUUUUCUUCAUAAGGAGUCAAUUCCAUGGAAUUGGUUCAGCCAGAGAUAUGGAAAUGACGUCCGAAAAGCAUCGCGCUUCUUGCGAUGUCCGGUGCGCUCCAAGCGGCCCUUGAAACUCCGAGGGAGAGAAUGAUUUUCGUGUUAGAUCGUACCCAUAUCCGCAGCGGGUCUCC